CCCUGGGGUUCCGGAUGGUGAGCGGCGAAGGUAAGGCGAGCUCGCAGAGGCAGCGGCGGCGGCGGCGGAGACGGAGAGAGGCAGGCAGGCAGGGCGAGGGCGAGAGACGGAGGGAGGGAGCGAGCGAGGCAGACCAGACAGACAGACAGGCAGGCGGGCGGGCAGGCAGAGCGAGCCACCCGCCAGGCUGCGCUCAGCCCCGCUCGCAGCGGAGAGAGCAGAAGGCAGGAGGAGGGAGGGGAGGAGGGGAGGGAGGGAGAGAGGGAAUCCAGCUACCACCACCCAAAGCCAGCGUCUGCUUUCUGUCCUCAUUUCCUUUUCCCACCCAGCUUGGAGAGCAGAGAAAGGCAGAGAGAGCGAGAAAUAGAGACAGUCUGAGAGACAGACAGACAGCCAGAGAGAGCGGGAGGGAGGAGGGCGGAGGAGGAGGAGCAGGAGGACUACGCGGGGCGCGUUCCCUCCCAGCCGGGCGCCCGCGUCGCUGCUGCCGCCGCCGGAAGACAGACGCCCCCCAAAGCCCCUCGCCUGGCUCGGACCCACGGAGCCGGCAGCCCAGCACUCCGAUGGGCGCUUGCCUGAUUGUCUACCCAUCGGCCUGGACCCCAGAGCCCACCCAGCUGAGCAAAGGGCCCUGGGUGCGGGGCGACGCUCCGGCUGCCGCAGAGACCACCCUGGAGACGCUGGUGAAGACAGGCCUUUCUUGCUGAGCCGGGCCUGUCUGCACGGCCUGCUCAG
rnacentral:lncRNA from 1 species